AAAAGUAUAUAUAUUAUUGAUCAGCAUCACUUAACGAGUCUAUAUAUGCAUGUCAGUCUGUCCGUCUGUCUGUUUUUACGCCAACUAGUCUUUACGUUUUUUUAUAUAUAAGGACGAACCCUUCGCUUUUUAUUGCAGGUAUUAAAUCCCAUACAAAAUAAAAAUAAAAAUUUGUUACAACAAUGAAGGAGGCUUGCUUAAGUUUCUAUAUAUUCGCAAGUCGUUCGGGCGGGCUGAAUUGGGUACAUCGUAUAGUCGCCCUAUAAUCUUAAAAGGAUUCUAGGAACGUGAACCGUAAAAUAAAUGUUGCUUAGAAUUUAUACGUUUUGAUUUACUAACGUCUAUCUUUACCGAAAAAUAAUAUAACAAUGAAAAACGAUUUCUUCUGCCUUCCUGUCCCCAAUGUUUCCCGAUCGUACUAGUCGUCUGGCAGCCGCGGCUUCGUGGGUUAGUAACGAAGGCGACUAACCAGUUAAGUUGACUGCCAAGCUAAUCUCUUGCCGGCCUUUGGUUCCUACGGCACUUGGGUUAGCCUUUUACCAGCCGCUUGCAUUUGCUUUGGUUUAAAUUUCUUGAAAGUGUGGCAUUUUCUCAUAAGGGCUCGAGCCCCUUUGCACAUGCUUGACCAGUAGUAUGGGCUCCAUACCGUGUAAGUGCACGUGUACCAGUAAUGUAUCUGGGUUUCGGAUAGCCUGGACCAGCACCUAUGGUUGCUUAGCAACAAUGUUUUUGCGGAUGCUUAGCAACAUGUCUCUUAAGAACAUCUGGGAGAAACAAGGCAACAUGCCGCGCUCCUAGUAGGUCCGGAAAAACUGUGGCUGUGUGGGUUGCUAGGAGAGACUGAUCGAGAAUAAGGAGAAAAAGAUUUUCGCGCCUCUCUGUGGGCAAACGGCGGAGUGGUGGAAUCGCGGUUUGGUGGCGUCUUGCAGGGGGUAUAAAAGGCGGUCCGCUGGCGUCAGCCGCUCAUAGCAAGUGAGACUCUAAGUGCAAUUUCAAGUGGGUGAAAGUGAAAAGGUUGUGGUUUUUCAAAUGCUAAUUUGCACCUUUUGCAGCUUAGACAUUUCGAACUUAAUCCCGUGAGGAGUGAUUCAACCCCUUGCAACAGCAGUGGCUCAAAGGGUGAGUUAGGCAUUUCCUCCCAGUUUGGGUUUAACUUUGACUUUGUGGCGCAGCGGCAAGCGACAGCGACGCGGAAGAGCGAUCUCGGAGCACCACGACGAGUAUUGCCAAAGAGGGUAGCUCUACUACGGCGGCGAGCCUGGAUUGUGGCAACCACACCCAAGAGUUGGCGCAAGCAAACCACGGCGCUUCUAAGCGCCAAUCAACAAAGAGAAUUGCACAGGCGCAUUUGUUUGUUUAGCGCAAGCGUUUUUUUUGGAUCAGCUGCCAGCGGCAAGGCCGUAUCGAGGUUUUCCCUCAAACGCGGCGUUCCACAUGGCAGCACUGUGCUUUUCCUUAAUGUGAUGAAAACGCUGAAAUCCACCAAUUAAUAUUCCUGACCACCUGAAGAAGGUCAACAUGAUUAGUUAAAUGCACUUUAUUUUUAUUGUCAUUAUUUUUAUUUAAACCUAAGUCCAAUAACUCCAAGAAACACAUAAGAACAGUCGGUCAUAUAGACGAACAAAACGAACAUAAAGAUUAGGUAACAACAAAGAUUAUGCGCGAGGUUUGUUAGAAGGGCGAUAUUUUCCAAUAUAUUUACAGGUGCGGCAACCUCUUUGGAAGCGCUUUCAUCGGAGGAUGCGGCACAACUUCACGUGAGUUAAACUUUCAUUUAAUUUAAACCUAAACGCAAACGGCGAAAUAUUCGAAAAAAAAACACCGCAGGGCAAACUAGAGCGCACCGUCGCAAAGAAACGCGAGAAGUAAAUGAAAAGAAGAUAAGAACGUAGUCACCCGCUAGCAUCCCUCCCUUUCCCCCUUACCGCCACUUGGGCGCACAAGCAGCGGCGUCAGAGCAUGCGCGCCUGGUAUCGCAUCCCGGCCAUUGCCGAGGGAUUUUUAUGUUUGUAGUUUUGGUUCUAUCAGACCCACAAAUGCUUUUGUUGUAUUAAUUUAAUUUGCUUUGAUAUAUUCUGCGUGUAGUUUCUUUUGGCAGCGCUGACUGCAGUUGCUGCGUGACAAAUUUUCGAGAUUACGAUUUGCGAAUGCAAUCUAGGGCUCAAUUAAAGUUUUAAGAUAUUGUUUAAUUAAAUGUUAUUUUUUUGUAUUUUUUUUAUUUAACGUCCCUUUUAUGUUUUAAGAUUUAUUUGUUCAUCUAUGCUAAUGUUUAUUUGUUUAAUGUUUCACUUUACAGUUAGGCAAUAAAUUAUAAUGAUUUUCUAAGAGAUUUUGUAGUUGAACUCGGGCUGGGGCAGCACCGGUAGGAAUGUGGAAGGGGCCGUGGGAAGAGGUCUCCCCAGGAUGUAACGGCCAUAGGUAGGGUGGGCAUUGACCACAACAACAUCAGUGUCAUGUUUGAAUGUGCGUGUGCAUAUGAGGUGUCAGUUCGUAGUUUCGUUAUCUCCGGUUGUAGUUGUGCCUUACAGUGCAUGUUUAUGUGUAUCUGUGGGGCAUAUUUUGUCGCAGCACGCUAAUUUUAAGAUAAGUUGACAACAUUAAGGCAUUUUUCGGUGCAACACUAUACCAUCCCCUCAAGCCGACGAGCGCAGCCGAAACAUAAGAGCGUACGUUGCAUCGAAAGUUUUUCCAGCUGCCAUUGUAAACGUUGUUCAUUACAGAUGUAUAGUUGUUAGCUUAUUUUUGGCGCCCAACGUUAAGGCCUUAUUUUUUAAUUAACUUAAUAGACGAGACUCACUAACAAAAUUGCGAACUGUUCUUUCUUCAACCAUUUCUUUUUCAAGAGUGAUUAAAGACCUAUUGGAAUUCAGUACAUGAAAUUCUCGAGAUUUGUACUUGACCAUAAGCAUCUUUAGGUCCAAUAUUUAAAUUGCCUGGAAUUUCUGUCGAAAUCUCCCGAGCUUUUCACAGUACCUAGCAAAUUCAACUGCAAGAUAUGAUUCGUGGAAUUUGAUCCUAUGUUCCAGAACUGGGAUUAACCACUAAAAUCGGAUAUAGUGCAAUGUUUGACGGAAACAGUAUCUGUGAUAGAUGACUGGCCUCAAGCACACAGCUUUACUUGACUACAUUUCCCUUCGUAAAUUUGUUACACACAUUCAAGACACACAUUUUUCCGGUAGCUAAGCUAGGCUACGAGUUCAACUUUAUGUUUUUGAUUGUCGAUUUUAAAAGUUUUUGUGAGAUUUCUUAUGUUUUAUGUUUAUUUAUCAAAUUUAAAUCUAUUUACCCAUUAAUUACAAUACUAUUUGCCAAUUUAUACUUUUUAUAUUAUUAUCUUUUAAAAACACAUAUAUUUAGAAAUUGUCUUCAUUAAUUUUUUUAACCCUUAUAUAUCCAUCAUAUUAUAAUUAUUUAGUAUCAUUAUAUUUCCAAAAUGGGAUUAGAACGGGAUGAUAACCCGCCUCCAGGGCCAGGAAAAGGCAACUGCCCCUUGUGUAAUAGUUCUAUAAAAUCAGAAGAGGAAUCCUAUAAAACCCCAUGCAAACACACUUUUCACAAAAAUUGCAUUAGAACUCAUUUUGCGGCCAAUCCCAGAUGCCCCAUUUGCAACUUUGUCUGCGUCACCAAAGUGCUUCCAAAGACUCCAGGUCAGAUGGACGGAAACGGUUUGUCGACAGCAGAUAGGGAAACUCCAGGAUGCUCAAACGCAUCUCAAGCCAGUACAAACCAGCCCACAAUUCAAGGUCAGCUGCAAGUCAUGCAAAACAACAUUCUCUCAGCACUGACUGAAAAACUUAGUCAGUUAAUUGAGCCCAAUGUAGAAAAUUGCUUGCGACACUUUAACUCGGCACCCGCCAGUCACAAUUCCAAUCCCGACAAUAGAGUGAGACAACCCGAUACCGAGACAUGGCAGGGUAAUCAUUCCAAUAAUUCUUCCUUUGAGAGAGAGUCUAUCUUCGGAACUCUCAAGGCGGCCGGAUAAGGUUGGUCCGAUUAUGAACGGUUGGAAAUUAAAAUUUUCGGGUACGGGUUUGUCAGUAGAUAAUUUCAUUUAUCAGGUGGAUGCCAUGACAAAUAAAACCCUAGACGGAAAUUUUGAGCUAAUGUGCAAGAAUGUCUCUUCACUUUUUGAAGGGAAGGCGGAGGAUUUCUUUUGGAGACACCACAAAACGGUUAGGCAAAUCAAUUGGGGAUCUUUAUGUUCAGCUUUGCGUAAGCAGUAUAAGGAUGACAGGGAUGACGGAGACAUUGAAGAGUUAAUAAGGCAAAGGAAGCAGGAAAACAAUAAAUCUUUUGAUAGUUUCUUCAAUGCUAUCAAUGUCUUUCUUGAUGAAAUGGAAAGGCCCUUGUCAAAAAGCAAGUUGGUGAGGAUUUUGAGAAAUAAAUUGAGACCAGAAAUUCGUCAUGAAAUCCUAAAUGUUGACAUAUCCUGUGUAUCACACCUGCGUGAAGUAUGUCGCAAAAGGGAAUCAUUCUUAGAAGAUGUCAAGCGAUCUCAUGGAUACGCUAAGAGGGUCCAAGAAAGAUGUGGCAGAAUUAGAUGAGGAUUUUGGCACAGAAGAAGUCAGUGAAGUAGAAAUUAAUGGAGAAAUAGAGGCGCUGAACGUGGUCUGCUGGAAUAGCCAUAAAGAAGGGCAUAUUUAUAAAAAUUGCUUAGUCGAAAAACAACGCCUGUUUUGCUUUGGAUGCGGUUUGGCGAACACUCUUAGGCCUAAAUGUGCAAGGUGCUUGUCAAAAAACCGCUCAGGGAGCACGCAGAUGCAGCCACACAAACAGAAGCCUUUGCGUGCUCAGCAGCAGCCACCAUUCCCAAACCGUCCCCAAUCUCCAGCUUAGAUUCCGGCGAAAGCGAAAACGUUGGGAGUCCUACAGAGGCGCAAUACGAUUCUAGCUCAGGCAAUGAAUUCGAAGAAGAUGAAUUUGAAAAUGAUAAAGCAGAUUUCGAUGAGGCUACAAAAACUAAGUCCCGUAGCGCUCAACGAAUGCAAGACUUUUGGAAUGAGAUAAAGCAAUUGAGAGGGCAUAUUUGGGAAAUAAACUCUAUACAAGAUUGUUCCCAGGAUCCGCGUCCAUUUGUAGCAGUGCUGUUACUUCAGCGUCUCGUAAAAGGGCUUUUGGAUUCGGGAGCGGCUGUUAGCUGCUUAGGAGGCAGCUUAGCUCAGCAGUUUUUAGAAGAGGGCAUACCAUUCAAAAAAAUACAUUCCAAAGUGAGCACUGCUGACGGAAAUAGGCAAGAAAUUGUGGGAAAAGUUUGUCUUCCAGUGGUCUACGACCGAAGGACUGAAGAUAUAGAUAUAUACAUUGUUCCCACGCUAAAACAAGAUUUAUAUUUAGGGAUCGAUUUUUGGCGCAAAUUUGACUUGCUGCCGAAUUUACCAAAUGUGUCCGAAUUAAAUAUGAAAGCUAUAGAGCAUGACUUAUCGGAGGCAGAGAAAAAGCAGCUAUCAAACGUGGUAAAUUUGUUUCCGUCGAAGGGCUGGGUAAGACCAACUUAAUUUCCCAUUCGAUUGAUGUAGGUCCGGCUAAACCUGUGAAGCAGAGGCAUUAUCCUGUGUCUCCCGCGAUGGAAAAGUUAAUUUAUGCGGAAAUAGACCGAAUGAUUGAGUUGGGAGUGAUAGAAGAAUUUGAUAGUUCGUGGUCUUCGCCCUUAGUCAUAGUGCAGAAGCCAGGAAAAUUUCGUCUCUGUCUGGAUAGCAGGAAGGUAAAUGCACUUACUGUAAAGGAUGCCUAUCCACUUCCACAGAUUAGCGGGAUACUUAGUCGAUUGCCGAAAUCCGAAUUUAUAACCAGCCUCGAUUUAAAAGACGCUUAUUGGCAGGUUCCCUUGGAGGUAGAUUCGAGGGACAAGACAGCUUUUACGGUGCCAGGAUGACCGCUUUACCAUUUUAAAGUUAUGCCAUUCGGGCUUUGUAACGCCACGCAAACCAUGUCCAGACUAAUGGACAAAGUUAUACCUCCUCAGCUGCGUAACGAAGUAUUUGUCUACUUAGAUGAUUUGCUAAUUGUCUCAGACUCUUUGGAAAGGCAUCUCGAGGUUUUACGUGAGGUAGCGAUUCACAUAAAGCGAGCUGGACUUACGAGUAACAUCGGAAAAAGCUUUUGCUCCAAAAGGGUGAAAUACCUGGAGAAUAUAGUGGGAGAUGGAGGAAUCCGAAUGGAUCCAGAGAAGAUAGCCGCCAUUACUGAGUUUCCCGUGCCCAAGACUCUCAGGUCUUCGAGGAGCUUCUUAGGACUAUGAGGAUGGUAUCGGAAGUUUAUAUGCAACUUUGCGGCAUUGACGGCUCCGCUGACGGAUCUGCUUACUCCAAAGCGAAAAUUCGCGUUUACGGAACAAGCUUUAAAGGCGUUUGAGGACUUGAAGACAAGGUUAACCGAAGCCCCUAUUCUUAAAAGUGCUGAUUUUUCAAAACCUUUUUUUAUACAUUGCGAUGCCAGCAAAACAGGAGUUGGAGGGGUCUUGGUUCAGCUUUCUGAUGAAGGAGAUGAAUGUCCCAUCGCUUUUGUUUCCAAGAAAUUAAACAAGGCCCAACAAAAUUACUCGGUAAUGGAACAGGAGUGUUUAGCAGCUAUUGUUUGUUUAAAAAAUUUUCGGGCAUAUGUCGAAGGACACGAUUUUACCAUAAUCACGGACCAUGCUUCGUUGAAAUGGUUAAUGUCUCAGACAGAUUUAAGCUCAAGGUUUGCAAGAUGGGCGUUGAAGUAGCAGAGCUACUCUUUCAAGAUUGAACACAGGCGUGGAAAGUUGAAUGUGGUCCCGGAUGUCCUUUCUAGGGUACACGAGGAAGAAGUAGACGAGCUAAACUGCUUGGACGAAAGGCUAGUUGAUGUGGAGUCUAGGCACUUUAACUCUCCCGAAUAUUUGGACUUGAUUGCACGAAUUGAAGACUGCAAGGAUCGGCUUCCGGAUGUAAAAGUCCAGGAUGGUAGGGUCUUUAGACGAGCCGAGUACGCAGUGGGCGAGCCGGUCCACGACAAGUAUAAUUGGAAGCUGUGGAUUCCGAAAGAGGCAGUGGCUGAGAUCCUUAAAAAAGAGCAUGAUGACCCUUUAGCAGCUCAUGGGGGAAUUCACAAAACUAUUGAGCGAAUUCGGCAGUUCUAUUUCUGGCCAGGUCUAGUUCCGGAUGUUAAGAAAUAUGUGAACUCGUGUGAACUCGGGUGCUUCUAAAGCACCCAAUUAUCCGCUACGUCCCCCACUAGCUAAACCGUCAGAAUCAGAACGAUUUUUCCAGAAGCUCUAUAUAGAUUUUCUGGGACCUUACCCUAGAUCUCGAAAUGGAAACAUUGGCAUAUUUAUAGUCCUUGAUCAUUUGUCCAAAUUUGUGUUUUUGUAACCUGUGAAGAAGAUUACUGCGGACGUGGUUGUGAAAUAUCUGGAGACAGAGUUGUUUCACGUUUUUGGCGUUCCGGAGGUUAUAAUCUCGGACAAUGGCUCUCAGUUUCGGUCACAGACAUUCAAGAAACUUUUAGAUGAAUAUAAUGUCUUGCACUCUUUUACGGCAGUGCUCCGCAAGGGAAUGCUGCAGAACGAGUAAAUCGUUCGGUGGUUGCGGAUAUUCGCUCGUAUGUCAAGGGAGACCAGAAGGAUUGAAACAAGUAUUUGUCACAUAUAUGCUGCGCUUUGAGAUCAGCAGUACAUUCCAGUGUAGGGUCCAGUCCGUACUAUAUGGCGUUUGGUCAGCAAAUGAUUACCUCGGGAACCUCUUACACGCUUCUACGGAAGUUGAAUUUAUUAGAAGAUCGCUUAUUGAACCUGAUUCAAAAGGACUCUCUUGAAGUAGUUCGCAGUCGAGCCGGGGAAAUUAUGCAACAACAGUACGAGAAAAAUGAGCGCCAAUAUAAUCUAAGGGCUAGAGUAGUGAACUUUGUCGAAGGUCAAGAAGUUUUCCGCAGGAAUUUUAAGCAAAGUAACUUGGACGAGGGCUACAACGCCAAGCAUGCCCCAAGAUUUCUAAAAGCCCGAGUAAGGAAAAAGUUGGGUGACACUUACUAUGCUCUGGAAGACAUGCAGGGAAAAUUUUUGGUCAAAUAUCAUGCCAAAGACAUACGGCAAUAACUGGCUACACGCGGGAUCAGUCCUGGUUACUCUGUGAUCCCCAGUCUGAUUUUGGCAGGGGGUAUUUGUAAGUGCGCGUGUACCAGUAAUGUAUCUGAGUUUCGGAUAGCCUGGACCAGCACCUAUGGUUGCUUAGCAACAAUGUUUUUGCGGAUGCUUAGCAACAUGUCUCUUAAGAACAUCUGGGAGAAACAAGGCAACAUGCUGCGCUCCUAGUAGGUCCGGAAAAACUGUGGCUGUGUGGGUUGCUAGGAGAGACUGAUCGAGAAUAAGGAGAAAAAGAUUUUCGCGCCUCUCUGUGGGCAAACGGCGGAGUGGUGGAAUCGCGGUUUGGUGGCGUCUUGCAGGGGGUAUAAAAGGCGGUCCGCUGGCGUCAGCCGCUCAUAGCAAGUGAGACUCUAAGUGCAAUUUCAAGUGGGUGAAAGUGAAAAGGUUGUGGUUUUUCAAAUGCUAAUUUGCACCUUUUGCAGCUUAGACAUUUCGAACUUAAUCCCGUGAGGAGUGAUUCAACCCCUUGCAACAGCAGUGGCUCAAAGGGUGAGUUAGGCAUUUCCUCCCAGUUUGGGUUUAACUUUGACUUUGUGGCGCAGCGGCAAGCGACAGCGACGCGGAAGAGCGAUCUCGGAGCACCACGACGAGUAUUGCCAAAGAGGGUAGCUCUACUACGGCGGCGAGCCUGGAUUGUGGCAACCACACCCAAGAGUUGGCGCAAGCAAACCACGGCGCUUCUAAGCGCCAAUCAACAAAGAGAAUUGCACAGGCGCAUUUGUUUGUUUAGCGCAAGCGUUUUUUUUGGAUCAGCUGCCAGCGGCAAGGCCGUAUCGAGGUUUUCCCUCAAACGCGGCGUUCCACAUGGCAGCACUGUGCUUUUCCUUAAUGUGAUGAAAACGCUGAAA